rnacentral:rRNA from 1 species
UACGAAGGGGGCUAGCGUUGCUCGGAAUCACUGGGCGUAAAGCACACGUAGGCGGGUCUUUAAGUCAGGGGUGAAAUCCCGGAGCUCAACUCCGGAACUGCCUUUGAUACUGGAGAUCUUGAGUCCGGGAGAGGUGAGUGGAACUCCGAGUGUAGAGGUGAAAUUCGUAGAUAUUCGGAAGAACACCAGUGGCGAAGGCGGCUCACUGGCCCGGUACUGACGCUGAGGCGCGAAAGCGUGGGGAGCAAACAGG